rnacentral:rRNA from 1 species
GGUUAAGCGACUAAGCGUACACGGUGGAUGCCCUGGCAGUCAGAGGCGAUGAAGGACGUGCUAAUCUGCGAUAAGCGUCGGUAAGGUGAUAUGAACCGUUAUAACCGGCGAUUUCCGAAUGGGGAAACCCAGUGUGUUUCGACACACUAUCAUUAACUGAAUCCAUAGGUUAAUGAGGCGAACCGGGGGAACUGAAACAUCUAAGUACCCCGAGGAAAAGAAAUCAACCGAGAUUCCCCCAGUAGCGGCGAGCGAACGGGGAGCAGCCCAGAGCCUGAAUCAGUGUGUGUGUUAGUGGAAGCGUCUGGAAAGGCGCGCGAUACAGGGUGACAGCCCCGUACACAAAAAUGCACAUGCUGUGAGCUCGAUGAGUAGGGCGGGACACGUGGUAUCCUGUCUGAAUAUGGGGGGACCAUCCUCCAAGGCUAAAUACUCCUGACUGACCGAUAGUGAACCAGUACCGUGAGGGAAAGGCGAAAAGAACCCCGGCGAGGGGAGUGAAAAAGAACCUGAAACCGUGUACGUACAAGCAGUGGGAGCACGCUUAGGCGUGUGACUGCGUACCUUUUGUAUAAUGGGUCAGCGACUUAUAUUCUGUAGCAAGGUUAACCGAAUAGGGGAGCCGAAGGGAAACCGAGUCUUAACUGGGCGUUAAGUUGCAGGGUAUAGACCCGAAACCCGGUGAUCUAGCCAUGGGCAGGUUGAAGGUUGGGUAACACUAACUGGAGGACCGAACCGACUAAUGUUGAAAAAUUAGCGGAUGACUUGUGGCUGGGGGUGAAAGGCCAAUCAAACCGGGAGAUAGCUGGUUCUCCCCGAAAGCUAUUUAGGUAGCGCCUCGUGAAUUCAUCUCCGGGGGUAGAGCACUGUUUCGGCAAGGGGGUCAUCCCGACUUACCAACCCGAUGCAAACUGCGAAUACCGGAGAAUGUUAUCACGGGAGACACACGGCGGGUGCUAACGUCCGUCGUGAAGAGGGAAACAACCCAGACCGCCAGCUAAGGUCCCAAAGUCAUGGUUAAGUGGGAAACGAUGUGGGAAGGCCCAGACAGCCAGGAUGUUGGCUUAGAAGCAGCCAUCAUUUAAAGAAAGCGUAAUAGCUCACUGGUCGAGUCGGCCUGCGCGGAAGAUGUAACGGGGCUAAACCAUGCACCGAAGCUGCGGCAGCGACACUAUGUGUUGUUGGGUAGGGGAGCGUUCUGUAAGCCUGUGAAGGUGUGCUGUGAGGCAUGCUGGAGGUAUCAGAAGUGCGAAUGCUGACAUAAGUAACGAUAAAGCGGGUGAAAAGCCCGCUCGCCGGAAGACCAAGGGUUCCUGUCCAACGUUAAUCGGGGCAGGGUGAGUCGACCCCUAAGGCGAGGCCGAAAGGCGUAGUCGAUGGGAAACAGGUUAAUAUUCCUGUACUUGGUGUUACUGCGAAGGGGGGACGGAGAAGGCUAUGUUGGCCGGGCGACGGUUGUCCCGGUUUAAGCGUGUAGGCUGGUUUUCCAGGCAAAUCCGGAAAAUCAAGGCUGAGGCGUGAUGACGAGGCACUACGGUGCUGAAGCAACAAAUGCCCUGCUUCCAGGAAAAGCCUCUAAGCAUCAGGUAACAUCAAAUCGUACCCCAAACCGACACAGGUGGUCAGGUAGAGAAUACCAAGGCGCUUGAGAGAACUCGGGUGAAGGAACUAGGCAAAAUGGUGCCGUAACUUCGGGAGAAGGCACGCUGAUAUGUAGGUGAAGUCCCUCGCGGAUGGAGCUGAAAUCAGUCGAAGAUACCAGCUGGCUGCAACUGUUUAUUAAAAACACAGCACUGUGCAAACACGAAAGUGGACGUAUACGGUGUGACGCCUGCCCGGUGCCGGAAGGUUAAUUGAUGGGGUUAGCGCAAGCGAAGCUCUUGAUCGAAGCCCCGGUAAACGGCGGCCGUAACUAUAACGGUCCUAAGGUAGCGAAAUUCCUUGUCGGGUAAGUUCCGACCUGCACGAAUGGCGUAAUGAUGGCCAGGCUGUCUCCACCCGAGACUCAGUGAAAUUGAACUCGCUGUGAAGAUGCAGUGUACCCGCGGCAAGACGGAAAGACCCCGUGAACCUUUACUAUAGCUUGACACUGAACAUUGAGCCUUGAUGUGUAGGAUAGGUGGGAGGCUUUGAAGUGUGGACGCCAGUCUGCAUGGAGCCGACCUUGAAAUACCACCCUUUAAUGUUUGAUGUUCUAACGUUGACCCGUGAUCCGGGUUGCGGACAGUGUCUGGUGGGUAGUUUGACUGGGGCGGUCUCCUCCUAAAGAGUAACGGAGGAGCACGAAGGUUGGCUAAUCCUGGUCGGACAUCAGGAGGUUAGUGCAAUGGCAUAAGCCAGCUUGACUGCGAGCGUGACGGCGCGAGCAGGUGCGAAAGCAGGUCAUAGUGAUCCGGUGGUUCUGAAUGGAAGGGCCAUCGCUCAACGGAUAAAAGGUACUCCGGGGAUAACAGGCUGAUACCGCCCAAGAGUUCAUAUCGACGGCGGUGUUUGGCACCUCGAUGUCGGCUCAUCACAUCCUGGGGCUGAAGUAGGUCCCAAGGGUAUGGCUGUUCGCCAUUUAAAGUGGUACGCGAGCUGGGUUUAGAACGUCGUGAGACAGUUCGGUCCCUAUCUGCCGUGGGCGCUGGAGAACUGAGGGGGGCUGCUCCUAGUACGAGAGGACCGGAGUGGACGCAUCACUGGUGUUCGGGUUGUCAUGCCAAUGGCACUGCCCGGUAGCUAAAUGCGGAAGAGAUAAGUGCUGAAAGCAUCUAAGCACGAAACUUGCCCCGAGAUGAGUUCUCCCUGACUCCUUGAGAGUCCUGAAGGAACGUUGAAGACGACGACGUUGAUAGGCCGGGUGUGUAAGCGCAGCGAUGCGUUGAGCUAACCGGUACUAAUGAACCGUGAGGCUUAACCUU